rnacentral:rRNA from 1 species
AUUGAACGCUGGCGGCAGGCCUAACACAUGCAAGUCGAACGAGUGGCGGACGGGUGUGUAAUGUCUGGGAAACUGCCCGAUGGAGGGGGAUAACUACUGGAAACGGUAGCUAAUACCGCAUACCAUCGGAUGUGCCCAGAUGGGAUUAGCUAGUAGGUGGGGUAAUGGCUCACCUAGGCGACGAUCCCUAGCUGGUCGGAGAGGAUGACCAGCCACACGGGAACUGAGACAGGGUCAAGACUCCUACGGGAGGAAGAAGUGGGGAAGAUUGGACAAUGGGCGAAAGCCUGAUGCAGCCAUGCCGCGGGUAUGAAGAAGGCCUUCGGGUGGUAAAGUACUUUCAGCGGGGAGGCGUUACCCGCAGAAGAAGCACCGGCUAACUCCGUGCCAGCAGCCGCGGUAAUUC